UUUAAACUGCGCAACCAGUGUUGGCACAACGCCAGCAUGAUCAUCUCCCGCAGUGGAGUUAUCAACCACAUCGUUUCCUACUCGAAAAUUGAGCUAUUUAUUGCCUACGUGGUCAGUAGAAAGAAAUAUUAUUAAAAUAACUUUUUGGCGAAAACAAUUAAACGGAGAGAGGAAGGGGGAAGAAAGAGACGCCCAGAGGCCUGUAAAAUUAAGAGGCAAAAAGAGCUGCCCCAACAACGAACGCCGUCGAAAUAACGUUUUCAAACAGUCAAAAACGAAGGCUGGUCACCGGCUGUUAAGUUGCUUUUUUAAAAAAAAACUGGGUUGAAACCGAACUAAAAAUGUCUUCAAAAUCCCGCCCACAGAUGCAGCAGUUAAAACAUUUUCCACGAAGUUAAAAAAAAUCGAAUCUUUUUCCGUCAACUUUAAGUUGGGCGUCGAAUAAAGGAGGGAAAGAAAAUGUUUUUUUUUCCUCUCUCUAAAGGAAGAACAUUUCAAGCGAGACGUUACAUGGAAAGAAAGCAGCGAAGCUGAAGGAACACCCGACACCGAACUGAUAACCCGAUGGCGGGACACUGAAAGGCAGCGAUUAUUAGUCGAGGUUUUAUUUGUUUUUAAAUCCGGAAUCGCAGUCAAACCGGUUUUUAAAAAAUAAAAAAUCGACUUGAUAACUGAACGAGGCAGGGAGGGAAAUAAAUGUCAGUGUUUUUGCGAAAACAGCAACCGUCCAUUCAUUUUUUGAAAAGAAAGUUUGAGCAAAAACCCUCAAAUCAGAUGGAAAUGUGUCAAACACCAUCAGAAGGGGAAGAGAGAAACUAGAAGUCUGAAAAUAAAACCAAAGAUCGACCUCCAAUCCCGCCCAUCGCCAUGAACGGGAGGAGCGGAGCAAACGGUUUCUUAAGGAGUUGUUUUUUUCCCUUGAAAAUUUUAUCACAAAAUUAUAAUACACUGAAGGAACUCACCGUCAUGAAGCGUGCCUUGUCAACGGGGUUUCCUCGCCAUCAAAUCAGGGGCGAGAUGACCAAGAACAAAAAAAAAUCCAACUCAACACACAUUGAAAAAAAUAUCCUUUACCAUUGAAACUCCGAUGUUUACGUCCUGACACGCUCUCUGAUUUGAUUCUCUUUACUGAACAAUAGUAUUGAAAUCCACUGAAUAGUUGCUUGGCACGGCCGACGCUGUAACGUAAACUGGACAAAAAAAUUUGGGAUAUGACCAAUUCAGCGACGCUAUUUUAAUUUGUUUAAGCAUCUGGAAAGCGCACCAACUUCUACAACAAUCUUUGACUGUUGAUUUCCUUUUCUGUGGACAGACCUAUUUCUUUAAAACAAGAAUAAAUUGUUUACGUUUAGCGACCGGAGAGAAAACAUUUAUAUUUUACACGGUGAGAUUUUAGAGUGAGAUGAAUAUUUGUUCAUGCAUUGUACUUUGAUUCUAAGAACCUUGAAGUACUUCUCCAUGCAAUUGAAAUUAAGUUCAAAAUGUUGCUCUUUCAAUUAUACUCGAGUCCACCCCAUGCUGUUAUAUUUUGUACGCGGAUGAGAUUUAAUUAUAUACAAUAACCACGUAUUAUGAAUAAAGUUGAUAACAUGUAUUCUUUUUGCUGUAAAUGUUUGGUUGUAAACAAAUGUAUUUGUUCUGAUGCAUAUAAACAUCACUCAUAAAGGUACUGUAUAUUCUAUUUCACAAUUUGCUCACUUUAAGAAACAUGCAAGAGUUGUGGUGGAACAAAACUUGUUUUAUUGAAAGAGCAAUUCAGAUAACUUUGUUUAUGUGCAGUAUUAAAUUUAGUAUUUAGAAAAAAA